ACAGGUGUUACUGAAGGGAGAAAAGCUGGGCUGAGAGGCGACUGGUGUCUAAUCUGUCUCUCCAACUCAGACUGCCUGGCCCACAGCCACAGCUCAGCCCCGAGCUGC